rnacentral:rRNA from 1 species
ACCUACGGGGCGCAGCAGUAGGGAAUUUUCGACAAUGGGCGCAAGCCUGAACGAGCAAUGCCGCGUGAACGAGGAAGGUCUUCGGAUCGUAAAGUUCUGUUGAAGGGGAAAAAGAGCGGAGGGAGGAAAUGGUCUCCGAUUGAUAUUACCCAUCGAGGAAGUCACGGCUAACUACGUGCCAGCAGCCGCGGUAAUACGUAGGUGGCGAGCGUUAUCCGGAUUGAUUGGGCGUAAAGGGAGCGCAGGCGGCCUGUUAAGUCUGGAGUGAAAGGCACCGGCUCAACCGGGACAGGCCCUGGAAAAUG